UACGUAGGGUGCGAGCGUUGUCCGGAAUUAUUGGGCGUAAAGAGCUCGUAGGCGGCUUGUCGCGUCGGAUGUGAAAGCCCGGGGCUUAACUCCGGGUCUGCAUUCGAUACGGGCAGGCUAGAGUUCGGUAGGGGAGAUCGGAAUUCCUGGUGUAGCGGUGAAAUGCGCAGAUAUCAGGAGGAACACCGGUGGCGAAGGCGGAUCUCUGGGCCGAUACUGACGCUGAGGCACGAAAGCGUGGGGAGCAAACAGG
rnacentral:rRNA from 1 species